CUUAUAUCAGGAAACCCAACAGGCUAAACCCAGCAUUUUGUUGCUGCUGUUGCUGUUUUAAGAACAAGCUGCUCAAUGUCUGUGCAUUGCCAAAGAGGGAGUGCUUUCCCUUCUCUCCAGACAGGAGGCUCCCAACAUUGAAAACAUUUCAGGAAAAAAGUAACAAAGGCAAUUCAAACAAGAAGUCUAAAUAUCCCAGGCCAUCCAGCUCCAGAAAUGACAUAAGAUUGAAUUUUUGCCUCUUUGCAUCCUGGAAAUAAAUGAGUAUGACACAGCUAUGACAUUAAGAGGAAAGAUAGAAUAUUCAAUAGACCUAUCACAGACCUUUCAUCACCCUGAUGGAUGUGGGACCUAGGGAACAGCCAACAGAAUGCAUUCACCAGUGAUCAUGACUAUUUCCUGGACAGAACAAAAUGCCAAUAACUUGGAUGCAGCAACUUCACAGGAACAUAUGAAAGACAUGCAACAUGGAAAACUUAUGGAAGAGCCAAGGCCCAGUGAGAACACAUGCUAAAAUAUGGUAAAUAUGGAAUAUGAUAAAAACUGAAAUCUGUGAAUAGUAAUAAAUCUAGUAUGUUUUGACA
rnacentral:lncRNA from 1 species